GUAGGUGAACCUGCGGAAGGAUCAUUAGAGGUAUCGGCCCUCCUGGCCAUAAAAAAGCCAGAGAGAGGUAGUCCCAGAUCAACCACUGUGCGCACAUAUUGAAGUUUUCUUUGCUUUUGGUAGGCGUCGUUCGAAGAAUUUUUAUUUAUUUUUUGAACGAUUCUGCCAUAAGUAAUGCCCAAUAUCAAUAUAAGCCUUAUUUGUGACUGAAAUUUUUUUUAAAUAAAAAUACAACUUUCAACAACGGAUCUCUUGGCUCUC
rnacentral:misc_RNA from 1 species